rnacentral:RNase_P_RNA from 1 species
UGAGACUACUGGAUGAUCGCCUGAGCCGUAAGGCAGGGGAGGAAAGUCCGGACAGUACAGAGCAGGACGGUUGCUAACCGCAACCAGAUGUAAGCUGGCGGUGUUCCUCUCGAGAGAACAUCGCUGCCAAGUCUAGGGAAAGUGCCACAGAAACGAUACCGCCUGGUUCGUCCAGGUAAGGAUGAAACGAGUGGGGUAAGAGCCCACAGCUCCCUCUGGUGACUUUGGGAGGAGGUAAACCCCGUCCACUGCAAGGUGGCUGGUCUAUAGGUUGCUCGCCUGGACCAGCAUGAACCGCACGAGCCACCUGGUGACAGGUAGCCAAGAUAGAUGAUCAUCCAUCCGCUUUGCGGGGGACAGAAUCCGGCUUAUAGGUAGUCUCAAAUC